CGUCCCUACGGGGGGCAGCAGUGGGGAAUUUUGGACAAUGGGCGCAAGCCUGAUCCAGCUAUUCCGCGUGUGGGAUGAAGGCCCUCGGGUUGUAAACCACUUUUGUAGAGAACGAAAAGACACCUUCGAAUAAAGGGUGUUGCUGACGGUACUCUAAGAAUAAGCACCGGCUAACUACGUGCCAGCAGCCGCGGUAAUACGUAGGGUGCGAGCGUUAAUCGGAAUUACUGGGCGUAAUGGGUGCGCAGGAGGUUGCGGAAGAAAGAAGUGAAAUACCC
rnacentral:rRNA from 1 species